rnacentral:misc_RNA from 1 species
AACGCACAUUGCGCCUUCUGGUAUUCCGGUAGGCAUGUCUGUCUGAGCGUCAGCAAACACCCUCAGCUGAGUAUUUUUUAAGUAUUCACGCUGGUCUUGGGCUUGGAAGCUGGGUUUAACACCCCUGCGCCUGCCCUAAACUUGCUGCACGACCGCUGGCUUCGGCUGGGUCAAUGGAGUGGUGUCACAAUCUUCCAGAAGACUUUCAACUGUAGCGCGGUGGCGUUAAACCUGCUGUCCGAAAGGACCGAAGUUUUGACCUCAGAUCAGAUAAGGAUACCCGCUGAACUUAA